GGCAACAAACCGUGUCUGCUAACCCCCAGC
rnacentral:piRNA from 1 species